ensembl:snRNA U6 U6 spliceosomal RNA
AUGCUAGCUUCAGCCGCUUACAGAUUAAAAUCGGAAUGAUACAGAGGGGCUUAGCGUGGCCCCUGUGCAGGGAUGACAUGCAAAUUCAUAAAGCGAAUAUUUUUAAU